GGAGUUAGCUCAGUGGUAGAGCACUUGCCUAGCAAGCGCAAGGCCCUGGGUUCGGUCCCCAGCUCCG
rnacentral:tRNA from 1 species